AUACGAAAGGUGCAAGCGUUGUUCGGAUUUACUGGGCGUAAAGAGAGUGUAGGUUGUUUAUUAAGUCGGAUGUGAAAUCCCGGGGCUCAACCUCGGAACUGCAUUCGAUACUGGUAGACUAGAGUUCGGGAGGGGUAAGCGGAAUUCCGUGUGUAGCAGUGAAAUGCGUAGAUAUACGGAGGAACACCUGAGGCGAAGGCGGCUUACUGGACCGAUACUGACGCUGAGACUCGAAAGCGUGGGUAGCACACAGGAUUAGAAACCCCAGUAGUCC
rnacentral:rRNA from 1 species